UACGAAGGGGGCUAGCGUUGCUCGGAAUUACUGGGCGUAAAGCGCGUGUAGGCGGCCAAGCAAGUCGGAUGUGAAAGCCCUCGGCUUAACUGAGGAAGUGCACCCGAAACUGAGUAGCUAGAGUACUAAAGAGGGUCGCGGAAUUCCCGGUGUAGAGGUGAAAUUCGUAGAUAUCGGGAGGAACACCGGUGGCGAAGGCGGCGACCUGGGUAGAUACUGACGCUGAGGCGCGAAAGCGUGGGGAGCAAACAGG
rnacentral:rRNA from 1 species